GAGGAAUAUUGGUCAAUGGGCGAGAGCCUGAACCAGCCAAGUAGCGUGCAGGAUGACGGCCCUAUGGGUUGUAAACUGCUUUUGAAGGGGAGUAAAGUGAGUGACGAGUCACUCAUUGCAAGUACCCUUGGAAUAAGGACCGGCUAAUUCCGUGCCAGCAGCCGCGGUAAUACGGAAGGUCCGGGCGUUAUCCGGAUUUAUUGGGUUUAAAGGGAGCGUAGGCGGCCUUUCAAGCGUGUUGUGAAAUGCAGUGGCCCAACCACUGGAUUGCAGCGCGAACUGGGAGGCUUGAGAGCGCACGACGCAGGCGGAAUUUGUGGUGUAGCGGUGAAAUGCUUAGAUAUCACGAAGAACCCCGAUUGCGAAGGCAGCUUGCGGGAGCGCAUCUGACGCUGAAGCUCGAAAGUGCGGGAAUCAAACA
rnacentral:rRNA from 1 species